CAGGUUUUGUUCGGGUCUAAUCUGCAAAUUAGAUCCGUAACUUCGGGAUAAGGAUUGGCUCUGAAGAUUGAGAUAGUCGGGCUUGAUUGGGAAGCAAUAAUAUGGUUUAUGUACUCGUUCUGGGUAAAUAGAGAUUUUCGGAUCUUGUUCCUCGGAUAGCAGUUACGUAACCAAUUGUGGAACUUUCUUGCUAAAAUUUUUAAGGGAUUAUCGCAAGAUAUAUUCUUUUUAAAUUAUAACGAUUAUCAACUAACAAUCAAUUCAGAACUGGCACGGACUUGGAGAAUCCGACUGUCUAAUUAAAACAAAGCAUUGUGAUGGCCCUAAUGGGUGUUGCCACAAUGUGAUUCCUGCCCAGUGCUCUGAAUGUCAAAGUGAAGAAAUUCAAGUAAGCGCGGGUAAACGGCGGGAGUAACUAUGACUUUCUUUUUUUUCUUUUUUUUUUAGCCAAAUGCCUCGUCAUCUAAUUAGUGACGCGCAUGAAUGGAUUAUCGACAUUCUUUCUGUCCCUAUCUACUAUCUAGCGAAACCACAGCCAAGGGAACGGGCUUUGAAAAGCGAGGAAAGAAGACCCUGUUGAGCUUGACUCUAAUCUGGCAGUGUAAGGAGACAUAAGAGGUAUAGAAUAAGUGGGAGAUAUUAUUCUUUCGGGUUCAUUAUAGCCAAUGAAAUAACACUACUCUAAUUGUUUUCUUACUUACUACUUUGUAGCCUACCGAAUACGAAAAUAUCCCAGAGGCAUAACUAGAUUCAAAGUGGACCGACUAACCGCAUUUCGAAAGGACCUUGUUCGGGACGAACAAGAUUAAGUGGAGGGUAGUGUAUACCAGAUAAGGCAUUCUCUAAAAUAAUAAAUUCUUUAAAGAGAAAAGAAUUCAAAUGUAGGUUUGCGAGGCGUCAUGUAGCUGCAGACCAAUGAAAGCGAUUAGCGGAAAAGCAGACAGGUAAAAACAAAGUGCAUAUCCGCAGGCGCGUCAUGCAGCUUCAGGACGAUGGAAACGAUUACAAACAAAAGCAGGUUAACGAAUUAAGAAUCAAGUCAUAAAAUUAGAUACUAGUAAUGUGAUGGCAAAAAUGUAUAUAAAUAGAAUAUUUGUGAAAGACAGUAG
rnacentral:ncRNA from 1 species